rnacentral:rRNA from 1 species
GAUGAACGCUAGCGGGAGGCUUAACACAUGCAAGUCGAGGGGCAGCACGAGAUAGCAAUAUUUUGGUGGCGACCGGCGCACGGGUGAGUAACACGUAUGCAACCUACCCUGUACAGGGGGAUAACCCGGAGAAAUUCGGACUAAUAUCCCAUAAAGAUAUGAGAAGGCAUCUUUUUAUAUUUAAAGUUUUGGCGGUACGGGAUGGGCAUGCGGAACAUUAGCUAGUUGGCAGGGUAACGGCCUACCAAGGCUACGAUGUUUAGGGGACCUGAGAGGGUGAUCCCCCACACUGGUACUGAGACACGGACCAGACUCCUACGGGAGGCAGCAGUGAGGAAUAUUGGUCAAUGGGCGGAAGCCUGAACCAGCCAUCCCGCGUGCAGGAAGACGGCGCUAUGCGUUGUAACUGCUUUUCCGGGGGAGAAUUGUCACGACGAGUCGUGGCUUGACGGUACCUGGGAAUAAGCAUCGGCUAACUCCGUG